UGAAGCCAGACCCGAGGGAAAGACGGCCUGUGACGUGGGCAGGCAGGCUCCCGCUCCACAGGGGGAAACUGAGGCCGGGUGCCGGGCCUGCCUGAGGCUGAGUUCAGGCCGGCAGACUGAGAACCAAGUCCCACGUGUGUCCCCUCUGAGCUGGCUGCAGGACUGCAGGAGAGACCUGAG